GACCGGCAAACGGGUGUGGAACACGUACGCAACCUCCCCGGAACAGGUGAAUAGCCUUGCGAAAGUAAGAUUAAUACACCGUACCAUAUAGAGCUGGCAUCAGCUUUAUAUUAUAGGUAGCAAUACCGGUUCCGGAUGGGCGUGCGCCUGAUUAGGUAGUUGGUGUGGGUAACGGCCCACCAAGCCUUCGAUCAGUAACUGGUGUGAGAGCACGACCAGUCACACGGGCACUGAGACACGGGCCCGACUCCUACGGGAGGCAGCAGUAAGGAAUAUUGGUCAAUGGACGGAAGUCUGAACCAGCCAUGCCGCGUGGAGGAUGACUGCCCUCUGGGUUGUAAACUCCUUUUAUCUGGGACGAAAAACGGACUUUUUAGUUCACUUGACGGUACCAGAGGAAUAAGCACCGGCUAACUCCGUGCCAGCAGCCGCGGUAAUACGGAGGGUGCAAGCGUUAUCCGGAUUUACUGGGUUUAAAGGGUGC
rnacentral:rRNA from 1 species